CCUACGGGAGGCAGCAGUGAGGAAUAUUGGUCAAUGGGCGCGAGCCUGAACCAGCCAAGUCGCGUGAAGGAUGACUGCCCUACGGGUUGUAAACUUCUUUUAUAAAGGAGUAAAGUGAGGCACGUGUGCCUUUUUGUAUGUACUUUAUGAAUAAGGAUCGGCUAACUCCGUGCCAGCAGCCGCGGUAAUACGGAGGAUACGAGCGUUAUCCGGAUUUAUUGGGGUUAAAGGGAGCGUAGAUGGGUUGUUAAGUCAGUUGUGAAAGUUUGCGGCUCAACCGUAAAAUUGCAAUUGAUACUGGCAGCCUUGAGUGCAGUUGAGGUAGGCGGAAUUCGUGGUGUAGCGGUGAAAUGCUUAGAUAUCACGAAGAACUCCGAUUGCGAAGGCAGCUUACUAGACUGCCACUGACAUUGAUGCUCGAAAGUGUGGGUAUCAAACAGGAUUAGAUACCCUAGUAGUC
rnacentral:rRNA from 1 species